AUCAGUUCAGGGGCGUGGAAGUGCGGGUUCCUAGUUUGCCUUCCGGCGUGAGGAAGCAAUCACUCCAAUUUGGUUCAGACAGCAAAUUCAAGUUCACUUUCUAUCAAGAAACAUGCAGAAGCACAGAAAGACUAGGUAAUUUGUUUAGAGUUUCUCAGUAGAAUAUGUAGAAAAAUACAGAAUGUAGAACAUUUGAACUCAGUCUGUCUUUGGAGUCAUAAUUUUUAAUGCCAUAGACUGCCUCUCAAAUAUUGUAAUGUAAUUAAUUUGAAAACUAAACUUAUUCAGCAAUUCUGGUUGGGAAGAGAAGCAGAAAGGCAGUAUGAUAUUGGAACAUCUAUAGAAUUGUGGAGUCAGAGAUUCUAGGUUUAAAUUUCAACUUUACUUCUGCUUGGGUUUGACUGAAUUACCUGGUGAUGUUGAACAUUAGUUUCCUGAGAAAAAAUGGUAACUGUGUGGAUAAGAACAUGAGUAUUAAAUACUUAAUUUAGUCAAUCACAUUCAUUGAGCACCUCUUAUGUUCUAGUUACUGUUCUAGGCACUCAUAAUACUGAAACUACUAAGAUUCAUGCAAGUAGCUUGCAGACUAGAAGCUGAAAGAGUCACAGUAAGAUAAAAAAGAUAGUAACUGUGCGGCACAUGGCAGAUAAGGUGCACAGAGAAUGGUUUGCUCACCUGUGUUAUCAAUCAAGGUUCUUUAGAGAAGUAGAAUCAACAGGACACUAUAUAUUAUUUGUAAAAUAGGGAAUUGACUCAUGCAAUUAUGAGUGCUGUGAAGCCCCAAAAUCUGCAGGUGGCAAGCAGGAGAGUCAACGGUGUAAGCUCCAGUCUGAGUUCAAGUCCAGUGUUCCAACUUUGAACAAUUCAAACUGCAGAUUUUUAAGGCAGAGAGCAAAUUCUUCCUUACUCAGUCUGUUUGUUUUAUUCAGUUCUUUCAACACUUUGGAUGAAGCCCUAUCACUCUGGGGAAGGCAAUCUGUACUGCAUAGUCUACCCAUUCAAAUGUUAAUGUCAUUGGAAAGCAUGUUCAAAGACAGGAGAAUAAUGUUUAGCCAAAUAUUUUGGCAUCCCAUGGCCUAGACAUCUUGGCACAUAAAAUUAAUCAUCACACCUUGAUUUGAGAAGUGGUCCGGAAAGGCUUCCCAGAGGAGGUGGUACUUAUACUGAGUCUUAUAAAAAACAAUAUGCAUGGUAUAUUAGCAUAACAUGCUAACUAUGUGCUCAUUAAAUAUUAGAUUUCUGGUGCCAAUGUUGUGGUAUAGUGGGUUAAGCUGCUAACUGCAAUGCCAACAUCCUGUAUCACCACUGGUUCAUGUCUGCGCUACUCCCACUUCCGAUCCAUCUCCCUCUAAUGGCCUGGGAAAGCAGCAAAGAUUGCCCAAGUACUUGGGCCCCUGCCAACUACAGGGGAGACCUGGAAGAAGUUCUUGACUCUUGGCUUCAGCCUGGCCCAACCUUGGCUUUUGAGGUAAUUUGGGGAGUGAACCGCAUAUGGAAGAUCUCUCUCUGCCUUUCUCUGUAACUCUGCCUUUCAAAUAAAUAAAUAAAUCUUUCAAAUAAAUAAAUAAAUAUUUGAUUUAUUUCUAUCUACUUCGAAGGUCAUAAGAACAAAUAUAACUAUCUCUUAGUAUCUGAAGGAAAUUGGUUUCAGGAUACCCAGAGGAUACCAAAACCUGCAGACUCAAGUCCCUUCUAUAGCAUGACAUAGUAUUUGCAUAUAACCUAUGCAAUUCUCCUGUGUACUUUAAACCAUCUCUAGAUUACUCACAAUCCCCAAUGCAAUAUAAAUUCUGUAUAAAUAGUUGUUAUACUAUAUUGCUCAGGUAAUAAUGAUAAGAAAAAAAUGUCUGUAUCUGAUCAGAACACAUGCAACCAUUGUAGACCUAACUAAUUUUCAGUUCAUGGUUGUGGAACCCACAGAUGUGGAGGGCUGAUGGCACAUUAUUUCUUUUGGCCCAGCAAGAGUUUUUCAGGCCAUAAAGCAUGGGAGAUUUUUUUCCCCUUUUGUGCUGAACUAAGAAAUGCUGACUCUUUUGCUGAUAGUGAGGGUCAUGGAUAUGGUUCAUUUGUAAUUGCACAACAUAAUUCCACCCCUGAAUAGAAUACUUUCUGAUGGUGUUCUAAAAUCUCCAAUUGCUUUUUACUUAUGAGGUAGAUUUACAGUGAGUUAUGUGAAAAGGUAAUUUGACCUGACAAUACACACCACCCUAAACAUUCACAGACACAGUUUUGUUUCUCCCUGGAGAAGCAGCUGUUAGAGUAGAGUGGUAAUCGCUGUAACAUGAUCAGCAUGGGGGAGAUUGAUCACACCUAGGAAAGUGACCUCUUGGAGAAUCUUUGCAAAAGGCACACCUUUCCUGUUGAUUGAUUACACAUCAGGGUGACCAUCCCUGGAUGGGAAAACUCAGUGUGGUCCUCACCUUCUGCUGGCACAUGCACUUUUUUUUGUUAGUGUUCAUGCAAGAUUGAUGUGCAGCAGCUGCAGGGUAGGGUCCCACAUAUUCAUGCCAUGAAACCUACCUAGUUUUGAAAGGAUAAAGAGAAAAGGAUUUAUUAUCCACAAAUAUAUUUACAACAGGUUCAAUACAAAAUGGUGAUUAACUUUUAAUAUGCCCACAGAGGGUGGUCUUCUUCCUGAGAAGGGGACUAAGAUGUAUUCACAGAAGAAAUGGCAUCUGCCUUCUAAUCCUGACCCUGACACAUCUCAGGAUUAGGGUUGUAAGUGUAGUUCACACUUUUCAAUUUUUAUUUCAGAUCAUUACUCUUUCAUUGCACAGAAAAUCUCUGUUUACCAAGACUCAUUCCAUUCUUCACUCCAAAUUGUGUCAUCAUCCAACUAGUUGGUUAUUUCUCAUCGUUCAGUCUGUUUCUUUACCCAGCUAUGAAUAUAUGAAUAUCUUCUGGGUACACAAGUACAACAAAUCCAUUUCAGUGUCUUUGUACCUUCACUUUCUCAACUUCAGGAUCUUUAUUUUAUUAGCUCACUUUCUAGAGCAUAUCAUCAUUUGUUCACCAGCACCUUAAACUCUUUCAGUUCUGAAGCAUUCAUUUAAAAAUUCUGUCUCUAACCCCGUAUAUCCAUCUUUUCUCAUCCUUUCUUUGUAUCUCUCUCUCUGUCACUAGAUUUUCCCCUCAAAUUCUUAGGACCUCCAAAUCCCUUAUUCUUUUAGCACCACCCCCUCACCCCUGUCCAGGGACCUGGCCCAGUCAGUUCCCUCCUGUUGUCACUUCCUGCUUUAACUAGUCUAAAUCCCAUAGUCUAUCAGCUGAAACAUUUUUGUCUUCAAAUUCCUUGUUCAGUUUUUGAGGGUUGGCCAUCUCAAAAAUCCUCAACUUCAGAUCAGUGUGAGUUUUUGGCCUGUUUUAUAUCCUGGAGACUGACCAUUACUUUAAAAAAAUCGCACAAUUUUGAAAAUUAAUACCAUCUGAUUCCCAUUAAUGCCACUUGACUUCAUAAUCACUAUCCUCAAAUGGAUAUUCCUCCUAACUGUUCUUCAAUUCUGAUAAUCAACUUUUUCAAAAUUUCUCCACUCUCAUCAAACCUCCAUACUUCUUGCCUCCCUGCUUCUUGGCAUAUAGCUUUGGCUCUGACUUUAUAAAGAAAGGGGCUGGUGUUACCAAAUAGUGGAUUAAGCUCUGACAUUGGCAUCCCAUAUUGGAGUGCCAAUUCAUGUCUCGGCUGCUCCAUUUCCCACCUUGCUCCCUGCUAAUGCAUCUGGUUAAAUCAGCAGAAAAUGUCCCAAAUACUUGGGCACUUGCCACCAACAUGGGAGAUUCAGAUGGCGUUCUGGAAUCCUGGUUUUUGCACCAGCCCAAACCAUUCAGGCCAUUUGAGGAGUGGACCAGCAGAUUGAAGAUCUCUCUAUAUAUAUAUCUAUAAUUUUGCUUUUCUAAUAAAUAAAGCAGUUCUAAAAAAAAAAGAGGAAAAUUCCCAAGAUCAAAAUUUCUUCAGAGUCCUGCCACUGAUAACUAGUUUUUCCUUGUUGCUAAAUCUCUUUGUGAGAGUGGAGCUGCAAAUCUUGUUUUAAAGCCAGUACUCCAUGGUUUCCUUAGCCUUCCCUAGCCUCAUUGUUUGCUUCUCUGAAACAUCCAAACUUACACCAGAAACGUGACUUCAUCUUUGACUCUCCACUCUUUGUUUAGUUACCACCACUAAGAUCUGUCGAUAAAACCACCUAAAUAUUUCUCAAAUUCAUCUAUUUUCCUUCAUCCUAUAGCUACUAGCUUACUGCAGUAGCUUUUUUAUAACCACACGUUUGGCCUCCACUCACUUUAAUCCAAUCUAUUUUCAUGUCUCAGCCAGAAUAGUUUUUUCAAAAUGCCAAGAUGAUCUUGUCACUCCCUAAUUAAAAUCUUUCAGUGCUCUAUAUUGCCUUUAAAAUAAAGUUCAAAGCCUGUAAGGAAGUUUGGAGGACUUCCAUUCCCCUGUAAACUCACCUCUUCUGCUUUAUUUCUCGCAGUUCCUCCCACUUCACCUUGAAAACUAAGCUGUAAAUCAAUUUGAGUUGCCACAAAUUUGACACAUCUGGUUUUACUUCUUGUUUAUUGCACUUGUUGCCUUUAUCUUUCUUUAUACUGUUCACUACUCCACUUCCAAUUUCACCUUAGACAUUAUCUCCUCUAUGGACUUUGACCCUCCUUUCAAGACUAAAUUAGGUUCCCUCUUUCUGUUGCACCUGCACUUUCUCCAUGUUUGCUUUUGCCACACGGUAUGGCGAUUAUUUACCAGUGCUCUCCUGCACUAGACAAGGAGUUCCUGAAGAGUAGAAAUUAUCUUUUUCACUGGGAUAUUCCCAGUGGCAUAAAGUAAAGGCUCAAUAAAUAUUUGUUGACAGAAGAAAUUCAACUAUCAUGGUGACACAUGUGGUGGUAUUUCUGUUUAUGGAUCGUAGAGAGGCAUAGGUGAUUAGAACUACCAGAAAUUAUGCAGUCAACCAGCAGAAAUAAAGAGGAAAUGUGUGGAUAGCUGAUUUUUUAAAUUUUAAACAUUUACUUGAGAGGGGGAGAGGCAAAGGAGAGAGAGAGAGAAAAAGAGAGAGAGAGAAACUGCCAUUUGCCACUUUAUUCCCCAUAUGCCCACAAUGGCUGAGGCUUGACAGGGGCCAAAGCCAGGAGCCAGGAAUACAUUCCGGGUCUCCUAUGAGGGUGAGAGGAACCCAAUUACUACAGCAGUCACUGCUACCUCUAGGAGCCAUACUGGGAACUGAACUCAGAAACUCUAAUGUAGAACACGGUACCUUAACUGCUGGGAUAAAUACAUACUCCAUGGUCGGUUUAUUCACUAUAGCAUGGAAGAAAACCAAGAUGUAUAAUCAUGGCAAGUUUGAAAGUCAUCUUUAUAAUUUUGUAGUUUCAAGGGCUUCAGAUAUUCUGUGAUAGCCAUAUUCAAGAUUCACCUAUUCGUUAUGAAUGGGAUGAUCCUGUACAGAAUUUUAUUUGUAUGUGGGGGUGGAGGGAGUGAGAGGGCUGAAGAGGAAGACAAGCUCUAGAUUUUGGAAACAUUUUGUGCCAUAAAAAUUUGCAGACAUCAUGCUAAGAUGUAAUAUUUUGUUUUCUUGCUAGGUGAUUAGGUUUCAUUCAACAGUGAAGCUUUAUUAGAAAUGUACUAUCACAGAUAAUUUCCAGGAGGGCAUUCUAAAUGGAUUAUUAUAUGGAAAGGGGAUUUCAAAUACUCAGCUCUGUACUUAAAACUACUGGAUAAAAUAGCAAGAAUGUAGUCAGUCUAAUGGGACCACUUAAAAUCCUGUGUUGCAAAGUGUUGCUUAAGACAACUUUUAGUUCUGUGAUAAUUCUGGGUGCACCCACUCAAUUUGCUAGUUACAGUCAGGUUGCAGGGAGGGUACUUGACACUUGAGUGGUAAUAAGGUUUAGUGUAAAUUUUAUUUAACCUUCUACCAGGUAGACCAAUUAAAAUGUUACAUCUGAAAAAGCACAUAUUCCAAUUUCUGCCUAGGGAUGUAAUUCAGCAACUUAAGUUUAGACAUGCUUUUGCUUUAUAGCCUCCAAUUAAUGGCAUCUCCUUAUUUAUUCUCUUGGGAUGGUUAGUUUUUCUCUUCAAGGCCCAUUGACAGUAUACUCCCAACUCUGGACUUGAUCCUCAAAAAUAGUCAGUAGUCACUGAAUCAAACAUUAAAGACAGGCUUUGCCUAUGUCCAAGCUUCAGCUAGCCAUUUUUUUUUUUCAAUUGUAGCAAAAAAAAAAAAAAAAUGCAAGACAGAUUGAAUCACUUUUUUAAAGGAUGAUUUUUCUUUCUGGAUAAAAACCCACACAUCAAACGGCCUAUCUAGAGAAAAAUAUUAUGGCUAUUUAUACUUUUUCUUAGUAACUAUAGCUUCCUUAGAAUUUCAGAGUAGGAUAAAAGGAAAAAAUGAACCAAUAUAACUCACAGAAUCCCAGAGAACUUUAUUAUCUUCAUGGAACGCUAGUAUUGUAAAAACAGACAAUGUGGCAAAUCUAUUGCAAAUUUUCUUCCAUAACAUGUUUCAAGGAUUUAUUUAAGCAGAUAGCUUUCUGCCAAUCUUCUAGGAGUCAGCAGAUGAUGGCCCAACUACUUGAGAUUCUACCAGCCACAUGGGAAACUCAAGUGGACUUCCUGGAACCUAGCUUUCUCCUUGUCCAGCCCUGCCUGUUGUGAGUCUUUGGGGAGUACACCAGAAAAUUGAAGAUAUCUUCUCUCUCUCUCUCUCUCUUUCUCCCUUUUGUGUGUCAUUCUGCCUUUCAAAUUUCAAGUCAAUCAAUCAGUCUUGGAAGAAAGAAAGAGAAAGGACUUGUUGCUGAACUACUGAGAGUGCUGCCAAAGGCAGACUUCAGUGAUUAGCCUUUGCAGGUGCUUCAGCUAUAGAGUUCCUUUCCAAGGUUAUGCCUUUUCCAAGACAGCUAAUAUCCAGACUGAAAGAGGUUUAUUAAAGAUUGCUAUUUCCACCCAGCAUGUGACAGAUCCCAGAGUCCUUUGUGAGGUUGGCUGUAACUGUCAUCAGUCCCACAACUUCUUUUCUUCUACAUUCGGAGGAUAAGGAUCCCAUGACAUACUCUAGUAAUUUUCCUGCAUGUUAGGGCCCAUUGCAGAACCUGCUUCCUGAAGAACUGAACCUAUACAUAUGAUCCAAUUUCAAAUGUCUCAUUAUUUAAAAUUAGUAUAAAAAUAAUGAUCAAAAGCAUAAAAGAGACUAUGUUUUUAUACCCAUUUAUCUUCACUGACAGUCUGAUUUUGCAGUCUGAUUUAUUUCAUCCCUCAUUGUUUCCAAAAAUGUAUAUUUUUAGUAUAUAAAUGUGUAUAUACAAUUUUUAUAAAAAUUACAACUUAUAUCUCCAUGUGGAAUCAAAAACAGAGUAGAAGGGUUACCAGGGGCCAGGGAGGUGGUAUAUUGGGGUAAUGUUGAUCAAAGAAUACAAAUUUGUAGUUAUAAGAUGAAUCAGUCUUGGAGAACUAAUGUACAACAUGGUGUCGGCUAUUAAUAGAUCGUGCAGUAUUUGUGCUUUUGUGUCUGGCUUAUUUCUCUUAUCUUAAUGUUUUCUAGAUUCAUUGAUGAUGUCACAAGCAACAGAUUUUCCAUGUGUUUCAAGGUAGAAUAGCAUUCCAUUGAGUAUAUGUUCUUUAUCCAUCGACAGACACUUAGAUUAUAUUCAUAUCUUGGCUACUGCAAAUAAUGCUGUGAAGAAGAUGCAAGUGUGGUGAUCUUUUUUACAUAAUGAUUUUACUUGUUUUUCUUUAGUUAUAUACCCAAAAGUGAGAUUGUUAGAUCAUAUAGUAUUUCUACUUUUAAUUUUUUGAGGAACUUUCUUACUGAAAUUGUAUACUGAUUUUAGUUGCAUCUUUCUUUAAUAUUUAGUAUAUUUUAUUUUUAUCUUCUCAUUUUUUAUUAUUCUUUUUUUGGGGGGGGUUGUGACAUGGCAUUACUAGUUUUGUAGUAUCCAGGUCAGUUGUUCUGUAGAAUGACCUUCAAUUUAGAUUUUUUUUUCUGAUACUUAAUUCAUAAAUAGUCAACAUAUAAAUGAGAGCAUCCUUUAGGGUGUAUUAUAUCAGGGGCCACAUGUUCUGUUAGCUUAUCAUGGUUUUUUUAAUUAAUUUAUUUAUUAAUUAAUUUUUUUUGACAGGCAGAGUUAGACAGUGAGAGAGAGAGAGACAGAGAGAAAGGUCUUCCUUUUUCCAUUGGUUCACCCUCCAAGUGGGCAGGAGCCAGGUGCUUCUUCCUGGUCUCCCAUGCGGGUGCAGGGCCCAAGGACCUGGGCCAUCCUCCACUGCACUCCCAGGCCACAGCAGAGAGCUGGACUGGAAGAGGAGCAACCAGGACAGAAUCCAGUGCCCCAACCAGGACUAGAACCUGGGGUGCCGGCGCUGCAGGCGGAGGAUUAGCCUAGUGAGCUAUGGCGCCGGCGAGCUUACCAUGUUUAUGAUGUUAGUGGCUAUUUGAUUUCUCCAUUGUAAAGGCUCUUUUUCAGUAAAAAAUUUUGAUGAACAUGUAUAUAGUUUAAAACUCUUUCACAUCUAAAGAAUUUUUAAAAAAUUGAUUUAUUUAUUUGAAAGGAAUUACAGAGAGAAUUACAGAAAGACAGACAGAAACAGAGAGAGAGAGAGAGAGAGAGAGAGAAUGCUUCCAUCCACUGGUUCACUCCCAAGAUGGCUACAACAGCUGGGGUUGGGCCAGGAUGAAGCCAAGUACCAAAAAUUCCAUCUAGGUCUCCUACAUGUGUGGCAUGGGCCAAAAUAAUUGAGCCAUCUUCCUCUGCUUUCUCAGGCAUAUCAGCAGGGAGCUGGAUGGGAAGUGGAGCAGCCAGGACUCGAAUUGGUGCCUGUAUGUUAUGCCAGUAUUACAGAAGUUGGCUUAACCCCCAUUGCCACUAUGCCAGCCUCUAAAUAAUGUUUUUUAAUCUUUUACUGUUUUUUUUAAGUUUUUUUUUUUUUUUUGACAGGCAGAGUGGACAGUGAGUGAGAGAGACAGAGAGAAAGGUCUUCCUUUACUGCUGGUUCACCCUCCAAUGGCCGCUGUGGCUGGCGCACUGCAGCCGGUACACCGCGCUGAUCUGAAGCCAGCAGCCAGAAUCUUUUACUUUUCAAUUUAUAUCUCCAAACUGUAGUAACUCAAAUCCCUUGACAAGAGAUAUAGUGAAAGUUAACUUUCAAAUAAGUCAUUCAUUUUCAGUUUGGAAGUGCUUGUCCUUAAUUGUACCAUCUAGUAAUCUUAUCUGGUAUUGUGGCCUUUUGUCAUUUAUGUCAUGCAUUAUCUACCCAAAAAUCCUGGGAAAUUUCUCUCAUGAGUCUGGGAAGGGAGGGAGGGAGGAAGGGAGGGAGCGGCGCCAUGGUUCAAUUGGUUAAUCCUCUGCCUGUGGCGCCAGCAUCCCAUAUGGGCACAGGGUUCUAGUCCCGGUUGCUCCUCUUCCAAUCCAGCUCUCUGCUGUGUCCCAGGAGGGCAGUGGAGGAUGACCCAGGUGCUUGGGCCCCUGCAUGGGAGACCAGGAAGAAGCACCUGGCUCCUGGCUUCGGAUCGAUGCAGCACCGGCGGUAUUAGCCAUUUGGGGAGUGAACCAAUGGAAGGAAGACCUUUUCUCUCUGUUUCUCUCUCUCACUGUCUAUAACUCUACCUGUCAAAAAUAAAAAAUUAAAAAUUAAAAAAAAAUUAAAAAAGAAAGAGAGGUCUUCCAUCCGCUGGUUCACUCCCAAAUGGCUACAAUGGCCAGAACUAGGCUGAUCUGAAGCCAGGAACCAGGAGCUUCUUCCAGGUCUCCCACGUGGGUGCAGGGGCCCAAGGACUUGGGCCAUCUCCUACUACUUUCCCAGGCCAUAGCAGAGAGCUGGUUUGGAAGAGGAGCAGCCGGGACUCAAAGCAGCAUCCAUAUGGGAUGCCAUCUCUACAGGUGGAGGAUUAACCGAUUGCACCACAGUGCAGGCCCCUCCUAAAUUUUGUCAUCUAAGAUAUUUCUUGUAUCUGUAUUUACCUCCCCCAAUUUCCAGGAAAAAUAAAGUAGAUCAGAUGAACAUCAAAUUAAGUAUUUCAGAUGGGAAAGAGUAUAAGUAAACUUCUGAGAUAAGAAGCAAUGUAACACAGAUUAUCCUAAGAUGGCCCUCUCCAAAGUUAGAAAAGUGAAGAAUGUUAUAUCAUACUGAAACUGCAAAUGAGAAAAAAAGAGGGAGGACACAAAUGAAAACAAAUUGACAUCAAGUUUCUGUGAAUGAUUCAUUUCAAUUGCAGUGAAAUAUAUCUCAUUUAAUAUUUGAAUCAGGAUGGGUUUGAAAUUUUGAUUCUUUUAUCACUGAUUCUGGACAAAUUAUGUAAGUCUCAUUUUUCUCAUAUAUUAAGUGAAAAUAAUAACAGAUAUCACAUAAUUGUAUAAGGAUUAGUAACUUUGGAUGCUCAAUUUCUAAAUUCUAAUAGAUAUUAAACAAAUGGUAUCUAUUGCUAUAGAUAUUAUUGAAUCUUUUUAUGUUCAGUACAGACAAUAUCCACAUCACACAUAAUCUGUUUAAAUUCUUGUGAAAAUUUUACAAAUUAGAAGUGUAGGGUCGGCAAGAUCAACAAGAUUAGCAACUUGCCAAGUCACAUGUUGACAAAACAUCAAAGUUGAAAUCCCAACCCAAGGCUUUUGAUUUGUAACUAGUAUUCUUCUUAUUAAUCUGUGUUUAAUUGAGAGUGAAGCAAUAGUACCAUACCUGCUUGCAAGAAAACAUUUAGCUUUAAUGUUUCUAGUAGAUGCUCAAAUAGUGGUUGCAUAGUUUGUGCAAUGCUAAUAAUAAUUAAAAGAAAAAUGUCAACCCCAAAUCAAAGAAAAUGAACCUUUUAACAUAAUUGGAACAAUGUUUCUUUUUCUUUUAACUUUUAUUUAAUAAAUAUAAAUUUCCAAAGUACAGCUUUUGGAUUACUGCGGCUUUUUCCCUCCCAUAACUUCCCUCCCACCCGCAACCCUCCCAUCUCCCGCUCCCUCUCCCAUUCCAUUCACAUCAAGAUUCAUUUUCAAUUAUCUUUAUAUACAGAAGAUCAAUUUAGUAUAUAUUAAGUAAAGAUUUCAACAGUUUGCACCCACACAGAAACACAAAGUGUAAAGUACUGUUUGAGUACUAGUCAUAACAUUAAUCCACAUUGUACAACAUGUUAAGGACAGAGAUCCUACAUGGGGAGUAAGUGCACAGUGACUCCUGUUGUUGACUUAACAAUUGACACUCUUGGUUAUGGUGUCCGUAAUCACCCUAGGCUCUUGUCAUGAGUUGCCAAGGCUAUGGAAGCCUUUUGAGUUCGCUGACUUCGAUCUUAUUUAGACAAGGUCAUAGUCAAAGUGGAAGUUCUCUCCUCCCUUCAGAGAAAGGUACCUCUUUCUUUGAUGACUCAUUCUUUCUGCUGGAAUCUCUCUUCCAGACAUCUUUCAUUUAGGUCUUUUUUUUUUUUUUCCAGAGUGUCUUGGCUUUCCAUGCCUAAAAUACUCUCAUGGGCUCUUCAGCCAUAUCAGAAUGCCUUAAGGGCUGAUUCUGAGGCCAGAGUGCUGUUUAGGACAUCUCCCAUUCUAUGAGUCUGCUGUGUAUCCUGCUUUCCAUGUUGGAUCUGGAACAAUGUUUCUUAGAAAUAAAAUAAUUAUCUCAAUAUUCCCUUAUUAAGACAUUGUCCCAAAACGUGUGUCUGAAGAUUAAGCAAUUGAUAUUUUGUCUUUUUUAAGAAACAUGAUUAUUAGAUGUUCAAACACUAUUUAUCAGGACUUCAUGUUGUUGUAGUAUAAAAUCUUCCUUUUCAUUGGCUCUAGAAGUCCUUGUUUAUGCCUAUGUUAUUAAUUCAUUAUGUGAAUGAUCAAUUAUACAUCUAUAUUAAUAUGUGAAUUAUGUGCUGGCCUGUGCCUAAAUAAAAUGGCUUGUGUGUAUAUAAUUUUUUAAUCUGUUGAAAGGUAAAUAAAUACAUAUAUAAAUAAAACAAACAUUGUGUUUCAACUAUAUGCUUUAUAUGGCAGAAAAACAGUUAUUGUCCUCAAAAAGAUUACAGAUUGUUGGCAGGAAAGAAAAAAAAAGGUACAAUAUACUAGGCUAUUUUAAUUAAAGAAGUUAAAUGGAAGCUGGUUUGUGAUAUAGGCCACAAAAAUAGCAAACUUAUCUUUUCAGAACUUCAGAGAAUGAACAAUGGCCUUAUUUCUUUUUGUCCAAAAAAGCUUAGAAAAGUAAGUGAGGAUUAUGCACCCCGAGAAAAAUUUCUAGCUCUUUGGAUCAACCCCGGUGUUCAGCAGUUGUCCUUUGGGCACUUGCCUGCUGGCAGCCACAUCUCUGAUCCUUGGAGUUGACUUCCUAUAGUCAGCACAAAGGACAUCUAGUCCAUUCCAAAACCACCUUGUCCUUAGUCCGAAGAUUUUUUUCUGUGAUAGGGCUUUUGAAAGAGUUUUUGUUGAAUUACAUGCCAUGGACAUAAUAGUGUGUACUAACUUUUUUUCUUCUUUUGUGCUAUUCUUCAUCUCUGUUGAGUUUCUCAUAGAUAGGAUAAAUGUGGAAGUGGGAUAAAAAUGCUCAUUACAAAUCAGGCUGAUGUUCAGAAGCUAUCAAGAUGUGUUCUGAUACCUUGGCAAAAGCAUUCCCUACUAUAUGACAUUUUGUCUCUAAUCAUUUGCUUCCUUAACCCAGUAGAAUCGCAGUUUUACUAGAUGCCAGCUCUGUUCCCUUCUCUGACAGGGAAACUGAGAGACAAAAUGUCUGUUUAGUGUGUUCAGCAUCACAUUGACAAUAAAAUUGGAAUUCAGAGUAAAAUCCAACAAUUUGGGAUCCAAAAAUCUUUGCUCUUUUUACUCCAACAUAUCAGUUUUAUAUUGCACCAUCCCACAUAGCAUCAGUGCCUUCUUAUCUGCUCUCCUUUCUUCUAUUCUCCUCUCCUCUUCUUCAUGUACCUUGUUUUUCAUCUCCACUAUUUUCUAUACUUUUUAGUCAAUCUUUUCUUUCUUUCCUUUUUUCUUCUUCUACUUGGAAGUUUUAACCAGACAGCCACUGGCUACCUGAAAGAAGACUACCCUAAUCAAACUGCUCUCACCUUCAUGUUUGGAUCAACAGGACUACCAAUUUCAAAGAAGUGUAUAGGAGGGCUUAUUUUCAUUGUAAAACUGUCAACCAGGAUAUGUAGACUGUCUGAACAUUUGGGCUGAACUUCAAUCACUUCUUUUACUCAGCAUUUGAUCUUCCUUAAACCUGCCAUUCAAGCUUAUGAGGGGCAAGGAUCUAGCUGCCAAGGCCCAAGCAAUCCCUUAAAGAGAGAAAUAAUAUGGGCUUUCAUAUAUAUCGACGGCUCUUGGAGAUAAUACUCAGUUUCCAAUGUUGUUUUCUGCCUGCUCCUGCCCAUUUCUGAGUGAGUCGUAUCAAAAUGAGGCCAAGUAGGAACUCUGCAUAUGAGUUUUAAUAUGUAUCUUGCAUAUGACACAGUGAUACAAGAAUAACUUUCUUGCUGGUGCCCUUAUGAUUAUAGCCUAAGAAACUUCAUCUGGGAAAGGAUUAAUAUCCAAAAUAUAUAAGGAACUCAGAAAACUCAGCUACAAAGUAGCAAUACCUCUAAUUAUAAAAUGGGCAAAAGUUCUGAGAAGAUAUUUUACAGAAGAAUAAAUGUAAAUGUUCAAUAAAUAUAUGAAAAUAUGAUCAAUAUCUCUAGUCAUUAGUGAAGUCCAAAUCAAAACCACAGUGAGGUAUCAUCUCAUUCCAGUUAGGAUAGCUGUUAUCAAAAAGUCAAAAAAUGGGGCCAGCAUUGGGUUAUAGCAGGUAAAGCCACCGCCUGUGGUACCAGCAUCCAAUCUGGGCACUGGUUCAAAACCAGUUCAAGACUGGGCUGCCCUGUUUCCAAACCAGCUCCCUGCUAAUGUGCCCAGGAAAGAGCAGCAGAUGGCUCAAGCCCUUGGGCCCCUGCACCUACGUGGGAGAUCCAGAGGAAGCUCUUGGCUCCUGGCUUUGGCCUGGCUCAGCCCCAGCCAUUGUGGCCAUUUGGGGAGUGAACAAGCAGAAGGAAGAUUUCUCUCUAGCUCUCUCUCUGUGUAAUUCUGAGUUUCAAAUAAACAAAUAAAUAAGAAAAUAACAAGUGCUGGCAAGAAUAUACAGAACAGGGAAAACAUAUUGUUGGUUGGAAUGUAAAUUAGUGCAGCCAUUAUGGAGGUUCCUCAAAAAAAAAAAAACUAUAUCUACCAUAUGACCCAGCUAUCCCUCUUCUGGAAAAAUAUCCUAAAGAAAUAAAAUCAGCAUAUGGAAAAGAUAUCUGUACUCAAAUGUUUAUUGAAGCAGUAUUCACAAUAGCCAAAAUAAAGAAUCAACCUAGAGGUCCAUCAGUGAAAGAAUAAGGAAAAUGUGGAAUAAACAUAUAAUGGAAUAUUAUUCUGCCAUAAAAAGGAUGCAACCAGUGAUUGGAAUUGGAGAUUAUUAUGUUAUGUGAAAUAAGCAGGCACAGAAAGGCAGAUACCGUAUGUUUCUCUCUCAUAUGUAGAAGUUAAAAAAUAAUUAUGAUACCUAAAUCUGAAUUAUAAUAGUAAUCACUAGUAGCUAGAAAGAAUGGGGGGAGGAGGAGAUAGAGGUUGGAUAAUGAGUGCUAAACUAGAGUUGGAUGAAUACAACAGGUCUGUUGCUUUGCAGCACAGUUGGGUGACUAUGGCUCACAAUGUCGAGUAAUAUACUGUUUAAAGACCUGGAAGAGAGAAGCUGUUAGGCUUCAAACAAAAAGAAAACAUAUGAAAAUGAAAUGGAAAGGCUUGUACCUGGUAUAUUAGGUUGAAGCUAUGUACAUGUGUUGAAAAAUUUUGUUAUACCUCUUAAAAUGUGCAAGUAUCAUCUACAAAUAUAAAAUUCUAAAAUAAAUUAUGUAUAAAGAAUAUCUAGAAAGUAGGAGAUUGAACAGAAAAUCGUAGGUACAAUAGUUCCAUUCUAUUUUCUAUUCAUUUGAUAAAACAUCUUUUUCCACCACCUAUUUUUUGUCUGUCUUUUUAAAAUAAAGCACUUGUUAAGAUUUGUAUUUGAAACUAUUUCUGGAAAUAAAUGGAGCAUGCAAUUUCUUGGGUAACAUGCAGAACAUUUAGUCUCCAUCUCUCUGGAGUUCCAGAAUCAUCCCUUUUGGAAAUUACAACUCAUCUACCCAUCUGUGCAUUUGGUCCCCAGAGACCAAAACAGAGCCAAAAAGAUAGGAAUCUUUAGGAGUUUUUAUGUUUUUGAACAUUAAAAUACUGGAUCUGAAGUCAGAAGAUUGAAGGUCUACCUUAAGUAUUCUUUGACUUUGGAAAUAAAUACUUGAUUUCUCUGCAAGAUCUUUGGCUGAAAAUUAAGAUAAUGGGAUGGGAUCAAAUGCUAAAGAAUAAUUUUAGGAAUAGUUUGUGUUUUCAGCUCCAUGAGAUGCUAAAGGGUAUGUGGUAGGCCACUUUAGUAGAUGGUAAUCACUUUCCAGUUUAUCUUUCAUCAAAUUUACCAAUAACAUCAUAAUAGAACAGAUGUCUUUGGGUAUUAAUGAAUGUUAGAUAUGAAUUGCCACAAUAAUAUGUGUUACUGUUUCCAUCCUGGUUCAUUAACUGUCAUUGAAAGUACCACAUGACUUGUGUUUUGCAUGUGCUAUGAUGUAGUCAUCCAGUAGCUUUAUUCCUUUCCCCACCAAAGGAUCCCCAAGACUACCAUUUGAAUCAGUGAAGGUGUGAAAUUCAUUUCCAGAUAUCUCUCUUUAGGAGAUAACAAGGUCAUUGGCUCUCAUCAAGAACAUAGAUGAGGAAAACAAUAUAUUGGAAUAGAGCAAGCAAGAAAGAAGCUAAUUCCCACUGCUCCCUGAAGUUUAAAUAGUUCCCCUGUGGUUUCAAGUUCAGUUCUGUUCUGCUUUUAAUUUAAAACCAUUCUCUACCAGGAAACUGAUUUUUGCUAGUCUCUUGGGUGAUUUUCUAAGACAGAUUUCACUGUAUUCUACCCUUGUGUAUGCACUUAGCUCCCAUUAGCAGUAAUGGGUGUUAUGCAUGUAUAGCUCCCAUUAACAAUAAUGGAAAUUAUGCAUGUGUAUCCAGAGGAAAGUGUGUUCCCCAGUGCUGGGAUUUUUUUUCAGGAGGAAAAAUACUCCUUUUGUAGCAUUUCGCUUUUGUUUUAGGCUGUUUAUUGUGGUGACAAUUUGUGCUGCAGAGAAUGAACAUGAUGUGAAAGACUGCCAGCCUCCCCAUGUGCGGUAGUUUUAAAAAUCUUGGCUUAUGAUUUUUUGCAUGACUAGAACAACAGUCAGGGAAAACUUGUUAAAGAAGUAAAAUAGAUUCAGAUCAUUUAAUAAAGGGUCAGGAGGGGGCUGAGUAAGUCCCUUAAAAGUAGGAAUUCUGGUAGGUAAUGUCACCUGUUUCAGAAGAAUAAACAUAAAGUAGAUUUGAACAGAUGGAGAAAAUCUUAAAAAAUAACGAAGUGCUAUUUAUGCAUACCAUAAUAACAUUCCUCCAGAUGAAUGUGUUUUAACCCAAAGAAACAAUUUCUAUCCUAAUGCACUGAUACAAAAAGAUGGGCCACAGGUGAUAUUACAAGAGCCUAUGAAUCAUAGGCAUAUUAAUUUUAGAACAAAUCAUGCAAAAAAGGAAUCUUUUACUUUAAUGUGAAAAUAAGGGCAUGAUUCAUCUUCAUUUUGAUGAGUGGCAGAAUGUACUUAACACUUAAAAUGUUUUUGGGUUGUCAAAGUGAAGGUCUAAGGAUUCAUCUCUUCUGAGAAUGCCUUUUGGGGAAUGCUCAAUAUUAUUUUUUCUCUAAAAAAUGUAACUGAUCUGGGUAAAGUCUCAGAUAUUUCCAGCACUGCUUGGGGAUAGACAAACACAUAUUCUUUGUAAAGCUUGGGCUUGUGUUAUGGGAGGGAAACACAUGAAAAGGCUUGGAGUGUUUAAGGGCAGAAGAUUCAGGGAGUGAUCCACCUGCAUUCAAAUGUUGACCUUAUAACUUGGGAAUUUAUUUUACUUCUCUGAGAUCCAGCUAUCUCAUUUGUAAAAUGAGGAUCAUAAUUCUCAUCUUCUAGUUGUUGUGAGGGUUAAAUGAGGUCUAAAAUUACGUUAGCAGGACUAUUAUUAACAACUAUUAAUAUAUGUAGGGAAAUAAAAUUUGACAAUACUAGAAAUCAAACCAUGUGUCUGGAAGAUCAUGUUGACCAGCAUCUAAUUAGCCCCAACCGGUUGUGUAUUUUAAAUACAAUCUUUAAUUUUUCAUCAUUUAGCUAUAAACAUGCCCAUCACAGCCUGAAAUUCUAUGCUACUUGGAAGGAUAAACACAAUAUUAUCAGGAAAAAAAAUUCCUGUUUUUUUCUUCCACUGCUUUAAUGAAGUUUAAAUUAUUAAAAACUUGAACUUAAAAAAAUACAGCUACAUAAGAACAUAAAUCUUUUUUGAAUAUGUUGAUAACUCAUAUCUUCUUUCCUUUGUUACCUUAACAUUGCAUUAUUGAAUUACAAGAAAUUUGCAAACAAUGAAAUUCUUUGCAAAACUUACACAGCUUCCCUCAUUAUCUUCAGGGAAUUGGUUUAGGACCCACCAUGAUACCAAAAUCUGCAAUUCUCAUUUUCCUUGUGUAAAAUGGUGCAAUAUUUGCAUAAAACCUACACACAUUUUCCUAUGUGCUUUAAAUGAUGCAUAGAUUGAUUAUAAUACCUACUAUAAUGCAAUGCUACAUAAGUAGCUGUUAUGCUUCUUGCUAUACUAUUGUACAACUAUUAUAUACUAUAAAUACUGUACAAAUAUUGUUAUUAUAUAACUGUACUAUUGUUUAGGGAAUAAUGAUAAGAAAAAUGGCAGAGAUCUGUUCAUAUUCAGGACACAAUUUAAUUUUCAGAAUAUAUUCCACUUGAAGUUGGUUGAAUCCAUUGAAGCAGAACAUGUGGAUAUGGAGGGCUGACUGUACAUAUAUUCUGCUAUUGUAUGAAAGAUAAUCAGAUAGACUGUAAAAGUGUAGAUCUUACCCAUUCACUUUGUAGAUGAACUAGUUGGUCACCAUGUAACAGUAGACAAGAAAGAGACUAUUUGUGUAGUUGCAGGCAUGAUGCUUAAUCUCCUUAAGCCUUCACUUUUUAAUUUGUAAAAUGAAAAUAGUGGUAUUUGCUUCAUCAGAAUGUUUUAAGCAUAAGUUAUAUAACACAUAAAACACGAGGUGAUAACAAGUGGUGUUUCUCUGAAGAAGCUCUUGAGAAUGGAAAGAGCAGCUUUCAAAAGUUACUGCUAUUGUAGGGUGGGGGCAACCAGCACCGCACGAGAUUUUUUAGCUCCCUGAAGAAGCAUUGGGGGAAACGGUAAAGAACGGUGAGAACAGCUCUAGAAGCUGUUAAAAUAUUUGUACGUGUUUCUGAAUAUGUAGGUUUUCCUGGGGCCAGGAAAGCUGGCUGCAGUAAGACGUGCUUUGGUGUUUGUUAGAGUAGAUUUCCCUGAUGGAGAAAGGGGAAAGCCUGCCUCCAACAGGUGUCCUUUGCUUUGUUCUAGAAGGGAUCGUGAAUUACAAUGUUAUCCUGACCAAUGGCUGCUUUAUACAGUUUCCUGUUUGGUCCCUGAUUUUUAGAAAGAUUAAUUUUUCAUCAGGAAAACUACAUUUAUUGAGUUAUAACUGGGGUCUGCAUUUUUAUGACAUGUAUUCUGUCAGUCAGAUUUUAUGAUUAAGACAGAGCUUCCACAGAGUUGAUAUAAUCUUUCUUAAAAUGUUUUAAAAAGAAGUCUCUAGAGGUUGCUUAUAGUAAAUAUUCAGUUUAUGCUUUUACUGGUUAUUAUUUAUUUUAGAACUAUUGAACAUAAUUUGUGAUCUCUAGGGAUCCAUGAGGUCAGGAUUGUUACUACUGCUUAAAGAUCUUUGCACAUAAAAUCUGUGCAGACUGAUUUCUUAUGUUGAGACAGGACCUCUGAGAAACUGGCAUUGCUUCCCCAAUAUUCUCCACCCUCUGGCAUCACCACAUUUUUCUUUUCUUUUUUUGACAGGCAGAGUUAGACAGUGAGAGAGAGAGAAACAGAGAAAAAGGUCUUCCUUCCGUUGGUUCACUCCCCAAAUGGCUGCUAUUGGCGCUGCGCCAAUCUUGAAGCCAGCAUCCGAGGUGCCAGCGCCACAGGCGGAGGAUUAGCCAAGUGAGCUGCGCUGGCUCACAUUUUUCUUUUAUAAUACUUAUUAUCAUGUGCUUCUAUUAUUUUAGUUUAUUAUGUGUCUCCAUAUAGGCAGUGGUUUUAUCUGUUGCUUUUUUUUUUUUUUGACAGAUAAAGUUUAGACAGUGAGAGAGAGACAGAGACAAAGGUCUUCCUUCUGUUGGUUCACCACCCCCAAAUGGCCACUAUGGCUGGCACUGCGCCGAUCCAAAGCCAGGAGCCAAGUGCUUCCUCCUGGUCUCCCAUGUGGGUGCAAGGGCUCAAGCACUUGGGCCAUCCUCCACUGCCUUCCCGGGCCACAGCAGAGAGCUGGACUGGAAGAGGAGCAACCAGGACUAGAACCCUGUGCCCAUAUGGGAUGCCGUUGCCACAGGCGGAGGAUUAACCCAGUGAGCUAUGGCGCCGGCCCCUUAUCAAUUGUUCUUACUGCUAUUUCGCUGUGAGAUAGAUCAUUGCCUAGCAUAUAGUAAGUGCUCAACAUCUGUGUGCUGACUGGAGUGGUUGAUGAACAAUUACCUCCUUUUAAUAGCUACUGUCCCCUAGAAAGUUGCAAUGGGAGGGAGUGGAACGAGAAGAGAUUUGUGUGGGGUUCUAACUGCAAGACCAGUAGCAUGGUACCAGGAACUCACCCAGUUUCAGUUUCUUGGAUGGUAAAAGAUAUAGGGGUGAACCCAACCUUUCCCACGACUGAUUUAGACAAGUCUUAAGUUUCUAAUUUGUGCCAGAGAUAGUAAUGCUGCCAUCACAGUGAUGCAGUAAAGACCAAACAUGAUGACAGAUGUCCUACCAUUUUGUGGAUUGCAAAUCUUAGCUGCUCCUAGUAGAUGGCAUCACUAGAAAAAAAGGAGACAUUUGGGACAUUAUCCAAAAGUUGAAUUGUGCCUCUGAAAGUAGAGUGAGCUUGGGGAAGUCUCUGAACUUUUCUAGGCUUCAAUUUCUUCACCUGGGAAAGGAGUCGGUGUCAAUGAUCCUGAACAUUCCAUGCAGCUAUGAAAGUCUGUGUCUCUAAGGAUGGCAUUUUUAUCUUCAUGUUCUUUCCUGGAGUUAAGUAUUAUGUUGGUAUUAAGUAUUAUGUUGGUGUUCCUCCCAUUUCUAUGAACAUACCAUAAAAGAGAUUUAAUGUAAGGUGUUUACCUUGUUUUCAUAUCACUAUUAAGCACUGGCCUACUUAGAGUGACAAAUUCAGUGUCUACCAGCACACAAGUUUUCAGUCUCUUUUACUACGACAGUCCAGAGUAGCUACAAGAAGCACCUUUUCCCACAUAUUUACUGUCGCUGACGUGAAGCCUAGCACAUUUGACAGAGGCGACUUGCUGUGUUCGCAGGAAGGGUGCCGAGUUAUACUGGAGUCCAGCUUUCCACAUCCACAUUAUUCUGCCUUAUAUCUUCUACCUCCCACUAAAUGUGAGAAAGAAAACUGCUUGCCUGGAGAGAACACUCUAUUUACAGAGACUCUCUGAGGGGAUUGUGACAGCCAUGGGCUGGAUUUACGGGUGAGCUGCUCUCACCAGGUUACAUCUUACACUGUAGGCCAAUAAAAUUCACUGUUCCUGUUAGCUGUCUGGGCUCCCUACACAAAGUGGGACUGUGCCUUUCCCUAGGAGGCAAGGGCUGAGGGCCAGGAUACUGCUGCUCUGCACUGAAGGGCUUGGGAACAUGCAGAGGGAUGCUGUUAUUAGGAAAGAGCACUUCCUGCAGGGCAACUUUUGUUUUCGUUUUCUCUACAUGAGGGGUAUGGAACUGCCCUUGUAUCUGUCCCAGUCCUGGCUGAGGUUGUAAAACAGCAAUUGAGCAUGAAGCUAUCGAGUACAAAGGGUGAAUGUAGGAAUGAAUGUCGGUAGGAAGCUACUAAGUUGUGACUGGCUGCACAGUCACAUACCAUACCUGAAUUUUGUUGAGAUAAGUGGGGUGGCAGAGACUGCAAAGAUCAGCUGGAGUUCAAGUACCUUGUAUUUCAUUUCCAUAAAAUGUGUUGAGGCUUGCCAUGAUCUCAUGUCAAUUUAUAGGUCUAAUUCUUUUCCCUCUUUUCCUUGGAACAUGUUCUUAAGUAUAAUCUGACAAAUCUUCUAACCUUAAAUAAAUCCCAUUCAUCUCCACCUGUACUGCUUUGUUCAUGAUAAGUUUAGUCUAGAAAUUCAUUGAAUUUGAGUACUUUUUAAAAAAAAUUAUUUAUUUAUUUGAAAGGCAGAGUUACAGAGAGAGAAAGAGAGAGAGAGAGAGAAAGAUCUUUCAUCCGCUGGUUCACUCUUCAGAUGGCUACAAUGGCUGGAGCUGUACCAAUCUACAGCCAGGAGCCAAGAGCUUCUUCCAGGUCUCCCAUGUGGGUGCAGGGGCCCAAGCACUUGAGCCACCUACUACUGCUUUCCUAGGCCAUGGCAGAGAGGGGGAUUGGAAGUGGAGCAGUCAGGACUCAAACCAGCACCCAUAUGAGAUGCCGGCACUUCAGGCAAGGGCUUUAACCCACUGCACCACAAUGCCAGCCCUGAAUUUGAAUACUUCUUUUAAGAUAUAGAUCAAAAUCUAACUGACUUAGGCGACCCUAUAAGUCAUAUACAUUUAUCAUUUAUCGCAAUUAUAAAUGUGUUUUAUGCCCACUACUCAAAUUUAAUUACUUCAUAGAUUAUGUAGUGCCUGAUAUCUGAGCAAAGAUAUAUACUUUUUUUUUCCAACAUCUCAUGAUCUUUAGUGAAAUUGAAACCUAUUAAAUUCACAUAAAUUUCUUUUUGAUUGAAAUUUCCAGGCCGGCGCCGCGGCUCACUAGGCUAAUCCUCCGCCUUGCGGCGCCGGCACACCAGGUUCUAGUCCCCGUCGGGGCACUGGAUUUGGUCCCAGUUGCCCCUCUUCCAGGCCAGCUCUCUGCUGUGGCCCGGGAGUGCAGUGGAGGAUGGCCCAAGUCCUUGGGCCCUGCACCCCAUGGGAGGCCAGGAUAACUACCUGGCUCCUGCCAUCGGAUCAGCGCAGUGCACCGGCCGCAGCGUGCUGGCCAUGGCGGCCAUUGGAGGGUGAACCUACAGCAAAAGGAAGACCUUUC